AGUCCCUACGGGACGCAGCAGUGAGGAAUAUUGGUCAAUGGCCGGAAGGCUGAACCAGCCAAGUCGCGUGAGGGAAUAAGGCCCUAUGGGUCGUAAACCUCUUUUGUCAGGGAGCAAAGGCGUCCACGUGUGGACGAGAGGAGAGUACCUGAAGAAAAAGCAUCGGCUAACUCCGUGCCAGCAGCCGCGGUAAUACGUAGGGAGCGAGCGUUGUCCGGAUUUACUGGGUGUAAAGGGUGCGUAGGCGGGUAAGCAAGUCAGAAGUGAAAUCCAUGGGCUUAACCCAUGAACUGCUUUUGAAACUG
rnacentral:rRNA from 1 species